rnacentral:rRNA from 1 species
AUGGCUCGGGUCUCUGCCAAUGCAGUUGCACUUGUUGCACUCGUCUCCGUUCUUCUCACGUAUGGCUGCUGCGCCCAGUCGCCGCUCAACUACACCGGCUCCUUGGCCAAAUCCUCCAAGGCUAGCUGGUCAUGGCUCCCUGCCAAGGCCACAUGGUACGGCGCGCCUACCGGCGCCGGUCCCGAUGACAACGGUGGUGCUUGCGGCUACAAGCACACUAACCAGUACCCGUUCAUGUCCAUGACUUCCUGCGGCAACGAGCCCCUGUUCAAGGACGGCAUGGGCUGCGGCGCCUGCUACCAGAUACGAUGCGUCAAUAACAAGGCCUGCUCCGGCAAGCCGGAGACGGUCAUGAUCACCGACAUGAACUACUACCCUGUGGCCAAGUACCAUUUCGACCUCAGCGGCACGGCGUUCGGCGCCAUGGCGAAGCCCGGCCAGAACGACAAGCUCCGCCACGCCGGCAUUAUCGACAUCCAGUUCCAAAGGGUGCCAUGCAAUCAUCCGGGCUUGAACGUGAACUUCCACGUCGAGCGGGGCUCCAACCCCAACUACCUGGCCGUGCUGGUGGAGUUCGCGAAUCGGGAGGGCACCGUGGUGCAGAUGGACCUCAUGGAGUCAAGGAACGGCCGCCCGACGGGGUACUGGACGGCGAUGCGCCACUCGUGGGGCGCCAUCUGGCGGAUGGACUCCAGGCGCCGGCUGCAGGGCCCCUUCUCUCUCCGCAUCCGCAGCGAAUCCGGCAAGACGCUGGUGGCCAAACAAGUCAUCCCGGCCAACUGGAAGCCCGACACGAACUACCGUUCCAACGUCCAGUUCCGUUGA